GCAAACCGCCGUUGCCUCCCUUGCCCCUAUUGCGCCUUUUGGUCGCCACAGCCGACGCCGACGGACUAGGGCAACGCUGUGCCCUAGAUUUGCAGCGCCGCCGUCCCAUUCUGCUCUAGCCAUCAUCGACACUGCUCUCCUGCAGUGUCCUUCGCUUGCCACUGCCCUUGUGAUCUAGCGUAGUCGUGAGUGCCAGCAACCACCUUGUUAUCGGCUUGAGUUUCUGGCAUUAGGGCUUCCAGUGGCAGCUUUGUUCGGUUUUUGGUCAUUUCAGGCAGUAAAGGAAGAGUGAAGAAUUCCAGUAGCCAACAGCCCUUAACGGCAGCCCUCAUUCCAGCAUUCCUUUGUUCCAGCAGCAAUCAACCUAAAUGGGGCAGUAACUCUUCAAUUCCAGCAUCUUCUUGUUCUUGAAUAAAGCUGUGGAACUUGAGGACUUUGACGCGA